GACGUAGGGCGCAAGCGUUGUCCGGAUUUAUUGGGCGUAAAGAGCUCGUAGGCGGCUUGUCGCGUCGGCUGUGAAAUCCCGAGGCUCAACCUCGGGUCUGCAGUCGAUACGGGCGGACUGGAGUUCGGCAGGGGAGACUGGAAUUCCUGGUGUAGCGGUGAAAUGCGCAGAUAUCAGGAGGAACACCGGUGGCGAAGGCGGGUCUCUGGGCCGAUACUGACGCUGAGGAGCGAAAGCGUGGGGAGCGAACAGG
rnacentral:rRNA from 1 species